rnacentral:rRNA from 1 species
GACCGGCAAACGGGUGCGUAACACGUACGCAACCUUCCUUCAGGCGGGGAAUAGCCCGGGGAAACCCGGAUUAAUACCCCAUAAAAUUUUGAGAUGGCAUCAUCUUAUUAUUAAAGCUUCGGCACCUGAUGAUGGGCGUGCGGCUGAUUAGGUAGUUGGCGGGGUAACGGCCCACCAAGCCAGCGAUCAGUAGCUGAUGUGAGAGCAUGAUCAGCCACACGGGCACUGAGACACGGGCCCGACUCCUACGGGAGGCAGCAGUAAGGAAUAUUGGUCAAUGGACGAAAGUCUGAACCAGCCAUGCCGCGUGGAGGAUGAAGGUCCUCUGGAUUGUAAACUUCUUUUAUUUGGGACGAAAAAGGGGAAUUCCUUCCCACUUGACGGUACCAGAUGAAUAAGCACCGGCUAACUCCGUGCCAGCAGCCGCGGUAAUACGGAGGGUGCAAGCGUUAUCCGGAUUCACUGGGUUUAAAGGGUGCGUAGGCGGAUAGGUAAGUCCGUGGUGAAAUCCUGCAGCUUAACUGCAGAACUGCCGUGGAUACUAUUUAUCUUGAAUGUCGUGGAGGUUAGCAGAAUAUGUCAUGUAGCGGUGAAAUGCUUAGAUAUGACAUAGAAUACCCAUUGCGAAGGCAGCUAACUACGCGAAAAU